rnacentral:rRNA from 1 species
CACGGGGGGGAGCAAGCGUUGUUCGGAAUCACUGGGCGUAAAGGGCGUGUAGGCGGUCAAGUAAGUGGAAUGUGAAAGCCCCCCGGCUUACCCGGGGAUCUGCAUCCCAAACUGCUUGGCUUGAGUACGGGAGAGGAUAGGGGAAUUCCUGGGUGUAGCGGUGAAAUGCGCAGAUAUCGGGAGGAACACCAAUGACGAAGGCAGCUCGCUGGGACGGUACUGACGCUGAGACGCGAAAGCGUGGGGAGCAAACAGGGAUUAAGAAACCCU